ensembl:lncRNA
CAGUAUUUAUUUGGUCAGAAAAUGUUUGCAAGUAGGGCCUUUCCUUACAGAUUGAAGUUAGUUCCGCAGUUAUGUCAUUGCGACGUCCAAUAUAAAAAUGUGUAGGCAGAACAUCUCCAACGGAUGGUGUAAUCAAGUUGUAGCUACACCAAAUAGUGUGUUUGGGUGAAAACAUGGUAUAUAUGGUCUGUUAAAACAGGAAAUUAAUUGUGUUACUGGUGGGGAUUGGAGAGAGAGAGAGAAGCGUCGCCAUUUGUCUCAUGCUCAUUCAUCGCUUAGAUGUGUUUAAUAGUCUGUGACUUCACUUAAUUUUCAAUUUGCAUAAAACAUCUGAAACACUUAUGUCCCAAAGACGCAUAUGCAUGCAUUACAACUGACAACUCUGCCUCCAUAUUCAUAUCAACAUUUGUUUCGGCUCUGUCACUAAGACGCGAUGCUCUCUUCACAACCAGAGACAUUCAUUUAUACACAUCUCAAUUAACAAUUAUAAUCUCUUGACAGUAGAGGCUCCGUCAGAUUUCCUGUCUGCUCUCCACUGUUGACAAUGUGCGCGCACACGCACACACGCACACACACACGUCCCUCUGCGCCACCUUGUCAUCCAAUGAUAAAGGCCAUGGCUAAUUCCUCUGUCGUUGUCUGAUUACUAUUGUACAUGUAGACACGGAGAGACGACAAUCUUUACUGUCAUCACUGGUCACCGGAAUCAUUACCAGACUCUUUCUAAGUCAACGAGGAGCAAUCUUUAUGUGACCAUUAGUUUCUGCAGGCAUAAAUUGUUUUAAGCAGUGCUUUUUUCUGUGCCAAGCUAAUAGUGUUACACAGAGAAUUGUGUUGGCAAUACAAAAGCUGCCAUCGUCUGGGGUGAACUAAAUGCAUACAGUCUUUCAGAAUUGGACCGUUAUGAGUGUGGUUUAGUAAUGCUCUGAGACUAACUCUAAUAACCGGGGGAAAAAAUAUUAAUGAUUUUCAUGUAUUAUUUUUUUAAGCACAUAGUGGAUCAGAGAACCGGGAUAUAUCGUGUGAUGUGGGACUGAGUCUGAGUGGACAGGGAUCUGUCUCUCAGCCCCUGUCUGGCUCCGUCUGAAUCCUUUAAGAAUGCAUUCUUCCUUCCUUUAAGUAGUCACUGUUCUAAUGGCACGUAAGACUAGUGGUUACUUCCAGGUAAGGAUGAAUUUUGAGUCUUUAAAAAAGUGCUACUGGACAGCCCUGGCUUCAUAUUAUUGCACUUUUGUUUUACCACUAAGUCUAUCGUGACGCCCGGGUAGCAUAGACUGACACAGGGGAGUAUUUCCCUCCUUCAGCCCCCCACUGCACAGUCCACCGCUUUUGCUCAUCUGAGCUGUUCCCCAUUGAGCCAACUCGAUGAUAAGUCACCGAAUGGUGGAGGGGAACUUAAUCUUGGAUAUUUACCUCGGAGAAAUGUCACACUGGAGCCCUUAAGUGCCCGUCAGCAUUGAAACAUGUCAGACCAGCUGUGGAUUUG